rnacentral:lncRNA from 1 species
GUCGCUAUGGCUAAUACACAGAAAGUAAUUUUGGCCGAAGCUAAGCCAACAGUUACAUAAAUCUGAAAAUCAGGCCAUAUUCUAGUGCUGUAUCCAGCUUAUAUGAGAAGCUAUAGAGUUGUUAGGUUUAGAUAUGGGAAGGAGCCAGAUUGUUCGAAGUCAGGAAAGAGCUUAGGAAAAGGCUAGAAUCCAGAAAGAGCACCAGGUGUGGACACUGCGGCACAGCAGUUAACACUGCUAGGAUGCUUGCAUCCAUAUUAGAGUGAAUGAAACUGAAUCCCACCUCUGCUUCAGAUCCAACUUUUUAUUACUGUGCACCUUGGAAGGGAGUGGGUAAUGACUCAAGUAAUUGAGCACCUGUCACCCACAUGGGAGACCUGGGUGGAGUUCUUAGUUCCUGGCUUCUCCCUGGCCUUGUCCCAGCUGUUGCAGCCAUUUGGAAAAUGAAUCCGAGAAUGAAAGGUCUCUCUCUUACUCUGCCUUUUAGAUAAAUAAACUUUAAUGAGACACCGUGGAGAACAGAUAAAUGGUCUUGAAGAAAUAUAUCGAAUCAUACUAACACAUGAACCUGUGUGCAAUGGGCAGUACAGAACAAAAACAGAUUCAUGAAGUGAACUAACCUGAAGCAACACUGUAGGAGUCUCAUCCAACAGAAGUACUGUCGGAGAAAUCUGAUAGUUAUAUGACAAGCAGGACUUUGAUUUGGCAUCUGACUAACUUCUGCAAUAAAAUGAAUUUGAAGAGGUCUAAAAACUGGUUUAGUGACCUUGCUUGGAAAGUUACAAACCACAACAGCACUGGUACACAUUUUAAGAGUGUGGAGUCUAUUUCAACUUCAUACACUUUCUGAACCUAUUCAAAGCUCUCUAGUGAAUAUCCAUUAAGAUUUAUCAACAAGAAAAAAUAUGAGUCCCCCAUUUCAGUUUUUAGUUCCUUUGAACCAAUGCCCACAGUAAGUACAAAUGAUCUCAUAUCAAAAGAAUGUAUAUAGAUGCAUUUAUUGAGUUUGAUACUUAAUAAACUCUUUUAUAGAAUUAUUUUUUGUUUGACA